rnacentral:rRNA from 1 species
CCUACGGGAGGCAGCAGUGAGGAAUCUUGGUCAAUGGACGAGAGUCUGAACCAGCCAAGUAGCGUGAAGGAUGACUGCCCUAUGGGUUGUAAACUUCUUUUAUAUGGGAAUAAAAUGUUCCACGUGUGGGAUUUUGUAUGUACCAUAUGAAUAAGGAUCGGCUAACUCCGUGCCAGCAGCCGCGGUAAUACGGAGGAUCCGAGCGUUAUCCGGAUUUAUUGGGUUUAAAGGGAGCGUAGGUGGAUUGUUAAGUCAGUUGUGAAAGUUUGCGGCUCAACCGUAAAAUUGCAGUUGAAACUGGCAGUCUUGAGUACAGUAGAGGUGGGCGGAAUUCGUGGUGUAGCGGUGAAAUGCUUAGAUAUCACGAAGAACUCCGAUUGCGAAGGCAGUUCACUGGACUGCAACUGACACUGAGGCUCGAAAGUGUGGGUAUCAAACAGGAUUAGAUACCCCUGUAGUC